GUCGGUCCGGCCGGGAUGAGGGGUCCAGACUUUCUGACCGGUCGGCUCAGUUUUCCCAGACCAGUCCUGCUCAGACUGGUGAGCUCAGAGGCCUCACGGCUGUCGAGGACCAACAGACUAAAAACCAUCACUGUGCAGGAGAUUAAUGCCGCUGUCACACUUGUACGACGGCGCAUACGUACCAGAGCUGCUGCAUGAGGAUCUGAGCCUGAGCUCUGCAAGAAUGUCAUUUUUAUUAACUUUUAUUAUUAAAGAGUUUGUAUAUUUUAUAUUGGCGUUUCACAUGAUGAUGCAAAGUCAGUAAACAAAAUGGGUGUAAUUGCAGGUUUUGUCAAGUUCUUGAUGGAAACUCCUGAUGUGUGGUACAUACUGGAGUAAGUUUGCUUUGUCUGAGUAUACCAGAUAGUUGGUGUUUGCACCUAUUGGCACAAGAACCUCGAACUGGGAUGGGAAGUGACUAGCGGGUUAGCAUGCUGCUAACCUGCAACACAGUGUAUAGCCAUCAUGUAAAAACUGCUUCCAUUUCCUUACAUUCUAAUUUUUGAAUGUUGUGAACUAAAAUUUUCAAAUGUGCAUAAUUGGGCUGGUUUGUUUAUGCAAAUGAAAACUAUCACAUUAAAAAUGUCGCAGCACUCUCAUAAACAACUAGUAUAGUAUAUUGGGACCUAACAAUGUAUACCCUUGACAGCUUUAGAAAGGGUGUAAAUGUCUUUUCAAAUUCUAAGAGCUUUCAGAGACUUGGAUUAAGCCAGAUGUGCUGUAUGGAGCCAUUUUAUUUCUUUUUUUUUUUCCAGUUUUCUACAUUUUGAAAUAAAUCCCCAUCUGCUUCAGUUGUCUAAGAGAAUGCUGCUGUGCUGUGUUGCUGCAGAUGUUUUGAGGACUUCACCCAACUUGAGAGAGCCAAAGUGAUGCCCCUUCAAGUUUGGCCCAUGGCGCUUUAUUUCAGAAACUUGAUGUGGCUAAUGGAGAGGGGGACAUUAAUCCAGUUUCAAUUGUGUCAUGAUCACAGAUGUGAUGUUUGUCAAUCUCGAAGAUGAUUUUCCAAGUCUAAAACUAAUGAAAUUAACAUAAUGAAGACACACAAAGAUUACACAGCCAGUAGUCACCUUUGUGAAGUUGUCACAUUGAAAAUCACCUAAACCUGUGUCUUAACCAUUGUAGCACUGGUUCUGUAUAUUUAGCUUGCUUGUGAAAUACCCCUUCACAAAUCUGUAGUUGUCAAUAUGGCCACUUUGUGAUUUUCACCUUUUGUUAGUACUUUGUCUUUGCUGAUUUGGCGGCCAUGUUGGUGUCGGGUAAACUGACUCUGCAGUAGACCCGUUCCCCCCCCUAGCUUGGCUUUGAUCCAAAUGAAGAAAAAAUCUAGUGGUGGCAUUCAAAAACUAUCCCCUGCUAUAUAGGCUGUGUUCCAAUUCAGGGUCUGCAUC